rnacentral:lncRNA from 1 species
CAUAUAUAUUGGCCAAACAAAAUCAAAUCAACCAUCUGCCCUUAUAGCAUGAAAUUCUAAGCACUCAAAUGUCUGCCACAAAAAAGAUUUUAUAAUUACUCCUGUACUCUCUAUAUAUCUCCAACCCCUAUUCCUCAUAUAAUUCCCACUCACUCAUUCUCACCUCUUCCUAAACCAAACCCUAACUCUCCCUCUCUCUCUCUGGCGCUCAACUCUGACAGAGCCAUGGCCCUCACACGUGCCAUGCUUUUCCUCACAAUGUCACUUGCUGUUGUAGCACCGACAUCUUCCACCCCAUCAACGCCCAUCACCAUGGCACCUUCGCCGAUGACUAUGAUGGCACCACCGCCAAUGUCUAUGAUGACGCCGUCGCCUAUGAUGACGCCACCGCCUAUGAUGACGCCGUCGCCUAUGAUGACGCCGCCGCCUAUGAUGACGCCACCGCCUAUGAUGACGCCGCCACCUAUGAUGACGCCGCCGCCUAUGAUGACGCCUAUGAUGACGCCGCCGCCUAUGAUGACGCCUAUGAUGACGCCGCCGCCUAUGAUGGCAACGCCGCCUAUGAUGACGCCGCCGCCUAUGAUGACGCCAUCGCCUAUGAUGAUGCCACCAACCCCAACUCAAAACUCAGGUUUUGUGCAUGGAAGUAGCAUGGCCUUGGUGGCAUUCUUGGGUGGACUUGCACUACUUUUUUAAUCACAAAAAGGCCCUCGUUUGAUAUUUACAUGUAGAUUAGAGAUGGUAUAUCAUCAUUAUGUGUAUUCUUUGUUUUCCAUAUUUCUUCUUUUAAAACUUUUUUUACCCUUUCUUUUAUUUUUGAUUUUUGUUGACGACUUUUGGGAGCUCCAUGUUAUGAUAAUUUGUGAAAGGAGGGUGAUGAUAGUUUGGAGGACACAAUUUGUUGGAUGUACUUAAUUAAUAGCAGCUCUUGUUUUGUAGCAUUUUCAUGAGGACUUUAAGAAUAAAGAGAGACCCCCUCAUUCUUGUUUGUGUUUCCAAAUCUUAUACAAUCUAAUUUCCUAAGCGUAGAUACACGUUAUGUAUAUUGUUCACUUCAAUUUCAUAUGGUUAAGCAAUGAAACAAGUCUCACAGCUUUAGAACCAGACUUAUACUGUAAUUAAAAAAAAAGAAAAAUUAUUAUCCGGUCUCUAGUUACUAAUGUUUAUUGACUGAAACUUUAUUAGUUUUCAAAUUUUGAUCAUAGUCAUUAGCAUCAAUGCAAUAAUGAAUUUACAUGUCAAUUACAUAAUUUUUAAAAUAAAAAUUAAUAAUUGAUUUAGAAUUUUAAUACUCACACCUUUAUUAAACUCCUAACUAAUUUUCAAUUCAAAAAAUUUCCAAAAAAAAAAGAAUAAGUUUGUACCCCUCAAGUUUUUUAGAAAAAGGCUUUCAAAUUUUUAAUCUUAUAUGUACACAUUCAUGUAAUUUUUCAAUUUUUUUAAUCUUAAAAUGUACUAUACCAAUUUGUUGUAUGCAAAAUGUACCCAUUUUUUUUUAUAUAAAAUUUAUUCAAUUUUUUUUUAUUUCUAAUACAUCUUUAAACUUAUAUGGGUACAUUUUUUUUAAUUAUUUGAAAAUAUAUCCAUAUCAAGUUUAAUCGAAGAAACUUACUAAUGUUAUUAAGCCUAAUAUCUACUAGUUUUUAUGUGGUUUUGAAGAAUGUAACAAUAUUUUGGUACAACAAUUUUUUUUGUUAAUUUUGAUGAAUGUACCCAUGUUUAUACACACAGACACACACAAAAUAUAUUGGAGAGUAUAAUUUAUAAUUGAAUAUUUUUAAUCCACAAAUUAUGAGUUUUUUUAUUAUUUAAAAUCUCAUUAAUAUAAAUAACUAUAUAUUUCAAUUUUUAAUUUAAAAAAUAUAGUAACAUACAUAGAAUUACGUUAUCACAUUAAUUUCAGGGAUUUCAAUCAAAAAUUGAAAACCAACAAGGUUUCAGUAAAAAAAUAAUGAUAAUUAAGGACUGUAUCUAAAGUGCCCCAAAUGCUGGAUAUGUAGAAAAUGCACCAUAAAACAUUACAAAGACACGAAGGAUUUGCAAAUAACACAUUGAAAGCUAAUCCCUCUCAUAUGACUUUAUAACGCUCACAUGAAGUAUUUUCUUUAUAACCUGACUUUCAAUUCUAUGGUUUAGAAAUCUCUCACCCAAUAGCUUUAUGCUUAUUAAAAACAAAAAGCCAUAACUACAUUUACAUAACCCAAUAAUCAAAUAAUGAUCAUGUUCUACAAAAAAAAAAAAAAAAAAAAUACUGACCAUGAAAGUUCUAAAUUAAUUUCUCAACAUUGUAAUGUUGGAAAAUAUUAUUAUUUAGUUUAUUUUAAUGUUUGGUAUUUUAGGCUUAGCCCGUUAGAAUUAGGUUUUGUUAGAGAUUAUGGUUAGUUUAUUAUAAAUAGGGUGCUUUGUUAUUCAUUAGAAAAUAAGUCAUUCACAAUGUAGUCUCUAGGGUUUUUGUAGCCGUCUCGGCAUUCUCAAUUUGUUCAAUAAAAUUCCUAUUAUUUUGUAGUCUUAUUUGUUCCGCACUUUGAUAAUCAACUUGGUAUCAGAGCAGGUUUGAUCAUUCGGGAUUUAAUCUGCUUGUUUGAUAUUCAUUUGUCUAUCGCCGUCUGAAUACGCACAUUGAAUCUGCAUCUCCCACCAGCAUCGACACCACCUGCAUAUGCACCGCACCGUCUCAUCAGCACCCUAUCCGUUUUCUGCACCCUUCAGCAGUUGCACUGUAUCCGCACCAACUCGGUCUGCAAUUUGGAAUGGAAUUGCUGCAUUGUUUUACGUGAUCAGGAGAACACCCCAUGUAAAAAAAAAAAAGGAAAGGAAAAGCAAAGCAAAGAAAAGGAAAAAAGUAUGGCUGGUUUGAGGCUUAGGCCCACACGGGCCAAGAAAAAAUAUGGUUUUGAAUAUGGUUUUUUGUUUGUUUGUUCGGAAGUUGGAAUUUGCAUUGGCAUUGAAAUCUUGUACUUGCACCGGUGAAAUUUUGUAUUGAAAUUGGCAUCGGAAAUUGGAAUCGGCAUCGGCAUCGGAAUUUGGAGGUUUGCAUCUACAUCUACUUUGGCAAACCCAUGUUGUGAACCGCCAUGAGUUUGACGGGGGUGUUGGAAAAUAUUAUUAUUUAGUUUAUUUUAAUGUUUGGUAUUUUGGGCUUAGCCCGUUAGAAUUAGGUUUUGUUAGAGAUUAGGGUUAGUUUAUUAUAAAUAGGGUGCUUUGUUAUUCAUUAGAAAAUAAGUCAUUCAUAAUGUAGUCUCUAGGGUUUUUGUAGCCGUCUCGGCAUUCUCAAUUUGUUCAAUAAAAUUCAUAUUAUUUUGUAGUCUUGUUUGUUCCGCACUCUGAUAUUCAACUUGUAAUUGUUUAUAUCUAGCAACUAAUCAUGGCUUAGUUAUUAAGUGAUAGAAUAACCUUGAACUGUUUGAUAAAGAUGCAUGGGAGAAAGAAUGAAUAUAUCAAAGAGCUUUUGAUAAGAACUCAACCAAUUAAUCAAAAAGGGAAAAGGGGAAAAGAAAAAGAUGUUUAAAAAUGCCUGCCCUAAGAAUAGAAAAGGUAGUUGGCUUGCUGGAAUUGGUAGGUGGAGGAGUGAUGAACGGAAUGUAGGUGUUAUUGGUAUGUAGUGGAAGUGGUGGUGAAUGAGUGAAGAAAGAAAGGGUUAAGGUGCUAGCUGUAUGGACUAGGAUUAUGUGGAAGAAAUGGAAAGAUUGAAAGGGUUAAGGUGCUAGCUGUAUGGACUAGGAUUAUGUGGAAGAAAUGGAAUGUUAAAUUGCUUUUGGGGAUAGGAUGGUGUCCUUAGAUUUUUGUUCUUUUCUCUUCAUACAACUAUACUGUAAUUCUAAGGAGACUUUCUCAAAAGUAAGACUCUUCAUGAACUUUCUGCAACCUUAUUAUUUGGCACAAUGUUUUGUAAUGUUGACAUGAGAAUUGACAUAAACUAUGAGGUGGUAAAGAGUCUAUGGAGGAUCUUACUUUUGAGAGAAUAUCCUUAGCAUUUCUAUGUAAGGAAAUGAAUUGUACUAAGUCGCACAAUAAAUCAGCAAUAAUUUAGAAUCGAAGUUGUAUUUGCAAGAGUCAAACAUAACCUACUUACAUGUAAAAAAUAAUAUGAGUAGACCGUAGUACUAGUAGUUUCUGUUUUUAUUUAAUUUUUUAUAUUUUUUUAUUGUGGGUUAAAGGAUUAAAGGAGAAUGGGCUUCUAGUGGUGGUUCAUGGUGGGGAUACAAUGCAUGUGACAAAACAACAUAAAUAGGAAAGUGAUGUUCACAUGGUUCUUUAGCCCCACAUAAAAAUUGGGAAAGCGAGAGAGUUUUUGCAUUUUUCGUACAUAGGAUUACAAAUUUGGUUCAAUACAUUCUGUGUUCGGUUAGUCUUUUGCUCAUUUCAGCUUCGAUUCCUCUGAAUUAAUGCUCAAGCAAAAUUUAGACUCGUUACAAAAGUACGAAAUUAUGAUCGAUGCUUAAAAUUUUUUAUUAUAUAUUUUUUAAAAUGAUAAAAACAAUAUUCUAAUCAACGAAUUUGUUUUUGUAAAAGAAACAAAUUCAACUCGAACAAAAUUUUAGACUCGUCAAAGAAAUAAGCUAUCUCGGAUUUAAGUAUCAUAUUCUAGUAAGUAAACUUGUGGGCAACUCAUUUUUUACUAUGAGAUAAUCUGGACAUGGAUUCAAGCUUAGUUUUUUCUUCAUACUUCAGUCAUAAACUUUUGAACGUUAGAGACCAAGGAAUUUAAGGAUUUUUGGCUAUGUGUCUAUGUUCUCGAGGCGGCGAUAUUAAAGUUACAACCAUAAAGACAUCUUACUAUUACUAAAUUCUAUGCUCAAGACAUGACAGGUAUAAAUUUGCUUGCACUAUUUUUUUCUCACUCACACUAAGAAUUUGAAGACUUGAGGUGGUUACAUCUGGAGUGGAAUACUAUUACCUAGCAGUGUUUACAUAACUAAAACACAAAAUUUGUACUUACAUGAUUGAUUGACAUCUUCUUGAUUUCUAUGAAUGGGGAAGCAUUAUAUUUAUAGCAUAUAGAACCAAUACAAUCCUAAUAGCACCCCCCGCCCCCCGCCCCCCGCCCCCCCGCCCCCCGAGCGCGCGCGCACACAUAUAUAUUACGUAAUGAGUCCAUAUAAGUCCACAAGGGAUGCUUAUACAUCAAUAUUACCUUGAUUAGCUAAGCCCAAAAACAUCGGGAAAUCACUUUAGCCCAGAUUUCCUGUUUUCAGUAAACCUUAGACACUACUACAAUAUUAGUUUUAAGUGGCAGAUAUUAGAAACUCCUGUCGGAUAAAUUAUAUCCGACACAUCAUUUAAUUACUGGCGGAUAUUAUAAAAAUCCUAUCGGUUAUAUCCGACAUCAAUUCCUGUCGGAUAUUACUGGCAGAUAGAAAGAAAAUACUGUCGGAUAUAACCGACAAUAUUUUUGAAUCUUUUUUUAAAUAUUUUUACAUAUUCUGACAGUUUUUAAGUUAAUGAUGGCGGUUAUAACCGACAAAAAUUGACUAUUUUAUUAUUUUACUUUAUGGCGGUUAUUAUUUUAGUAUUUUAGUGGAAAAAUGCUUUGUUAUUGUUGUUGUCGUUGUAAUAUUUAACCCCAAUUAUUAUUUAUUUCAUGAAUAAUAAAAUUUGUUUGUUGAAUUUUAGUUUAGUUUAUAAAAUGGUGGGAGUUCAAGUGCAAGACACCAAGUGACCCACUGAAGUUCUGAACAGUGAAUGUCAACUGCCAAGCCACUCGGGCACUUGCGUACAUAGGUUUGGUUUAGUGGAAAACGAGCAAAGUUUAGAACUCAAACUUUGAGUUUGAGCUCUUAGAAUGUAUUUUUUGUCAUCAUUGGUUCUAAUUUAACAUACAAUUUAACUCAGAAAUCGAAAAUACACAACUGCACUCGCAUUAUGUGGUACAGAGAUUGUAUGAAAGGGGAGAUUAGUUGGCCGUCCAUAGAUAUAUGAAUUGUCACAUUCAUUUACCUCUAUUUGGAGUUUGUUAUUUUUCCCCUACAAUUAUCUUUUAUCAUCCAUGCGUGAUAAAUAUGAUGUAGUAUUUUCAUCUGUUAGUGUAGUUUGGACAUAUGCACUCAAUAAUAUGGUUUGUACCUUCAUUUUUGAGUGUUUUUAGUCGAGAUGGUGAGAGGUUGACAAUACAUGAUUGGAAAAAAAAAUAUUAAAUAGUGUUAUUGACACUUUAAAAAAGUUAUUUGACACUCUUUUCAAGUGUGUUUGUAUUUUUUCUCUUGUAUUUCUAUAUGGUUAGAGUGCACAAUAAUUAUUUUGAAUUGUCAAUAAUGGCUCCUUAAUGUUAUUCCAUUUUAAUGUCUUAAAUUUUAGAGAUCUAUCAUCGGAGAAAAUCUUAUAGGUUUCCAAAUUCUCUUGUAUCUAGAUAUCAUUCUUUAUCAAAUGUUUAUGAUUUAAACUUGUUUGGUAACAAUUUUUUUUUAGCUUUCAUUUUUCUUAAAAUAGUGAAAACAAUUACCAAAUAAGUUUUUCAGUUUGCAAGUAGGUGAACUAAUAUGGUGUUGAAUUUCCACCCAUCCGUUAUGAGUUCGAAACUUCAUUCCUUAAAUUAUUGUAAUAGUUUCAAACAUUUUCCCUCCCUUUAAUAAUAAUUUUAAAAAAGUUCUUCAAUUUUCAAAAAAUUGAAAGAAAACAAAUGAAGGCUUCAUUUCUUUUAAGAGACAUGACUUUGAAGCUUCAUUGGGCAGUAAGGGGAAAAAAGUUUUAUCGAUGUGACCUAGAUUAAUUAUCUUUGACAUCUUCCUAUAUAACUCAACCGGUGGCGAAGCAAUAAUUUGGGGGGGGGGGGGUGGGUAUGAAAAACUCGUCAACCACUUCCAUAGUCUCGUCCAUUUCUUUGCAUUUGGAAUACAAUUCAAUCAAUGCAUAACUAACAAACAUAUUCAAUCCAACCUUGUCAUGUUUCUUCACAAACCCAUGUAUUUUUUUCUCAUAUGUGAGUGCCUUAACCUCUCACAUGCCUUCUGAGCGAUAGGAAUGGUGAAAUUAUCGAGUUUUUCAUCAUUGCCUCUUAACUCAAAUAUCAUGUUAUGGAAGAGAUACAAGGUGUCUUCCCAUCGAUUCUCUUUACAAUAACUCAUGAGUGUGGCAUUCAAGAGAGAGACAGUUAAGUGGGGGUGUUUCAUUAAACACCUUGUAGCAUGACUGAGUGACUCAUAUAAACAUAAGUAUGCCUAUGGGGCUCUAUUCACUCACUCAACUUUGCAUUAAAAUGUGCAUUGAAAAAAGUUUCAUAGAAUGUGUAUCGCAUCAAAACGGAAGAUUAAAUAAACACUUAAGAGUUAAUGUUAUACUUCCAUUAAGUAUAAAAUAAGAUAUCCACUAGUGUAAAUAUUUUAAAUUGAAGAUCAAAUUUAUUCAUUGCAUUCUUAUAGGGUCGAGGAGCGUAGUUGUAAAAAAUCAUUAAAAUCGACGCUAAAAUAACCAUUAAAUUGUGAUUUUUCAUUUAUAACCGUCGAAAACUUUUGUUCCGUUACGUAAUAUGUGAAUGUUUGUUUUUUACGAUUUUUUACGUAUGCAAUCUUGGAGUGUGUACAAAUAAGUUUGACGGUUCGAUCGUUGAAAACACUUCGUAGAAUGCGUAUCGCAUGAAAACGGUAGAUUAAACAAACACUUAAAGUUAAUGUUAUAUUUCCAUUAAGUAUAAAAUAAGAUUUAUCCAUUAGUGUAAAUAUUUUAAAUUGAAGAUCGAAUUCGUUCAAUGCAUUCUUAUAGGGUCGAGGAGUGUAGCUAUAAAAAAUCAUCAAAAUCAGAGCUAAAGUAACCGUUAAAUUGUGAUUUUUCGUUUAUAACCGUUGAAAACUUUUGUUUUGUUACCUAAUCUCCUAAUGUUUGUUUUUUGUGAUUUUUUACGUAUGCGAUCUCAAAGUGUGUACAAACAAGUUUGACGGUUGGAUUGUUGAAAAACGCUUCGUAGAAUACGUAUCGCAUCAAAAUGGUAGAUUAAACAAACACUUAGUGUAACAUCCCACAUCGCUUAGGGGAGCGAUCCUUAAAUGUAUAUUCCUAUCCCUACCUAGCACGAGGCUUUUUGGGAGCUCACUGGCUUCGGGUUCCGUCGGAACUCCGAAGUUAAGCGAGAAGGGAGAAGGGGGCUAGAGCACUCCCAUGAUGGGUGACCCACUGGGAAGUUGCUCGUGAGUUCCCAGAAACAAAACCGUGAAGGCAUGGUCGUGGCCCAAAGCGGACAAUAUCGUGCUACGGUGGUGGAGCGGGCCUGGGAAGUGGUCCGCCCCGGGCCGGGAUGUGACACUUAGAGUUAAUGUUAUACUUCCAUUAAGUAUAAGUGUAAAUAUUUUAAAUUGAAUAUCAAAUUUAUUCAUUAGACAAUAUUUAUUUAUGUUUUUCAAGUAUUGAUUAGACAAUAUUUAGUUUGUGUGAUGACAUUUUCAUGGUACAAUUCUUCUUUUGUUUCUUUAUCGCAUAUUUUACAUGGAUUAUUCUCUAUUAAACCAAAAGUGUAAAAAUUAUAUAUAUAGAUAAUAAUUUAAAUAAUUUAUUUAUUUAUUAAUUUUUAAAAACAUAUUCUAUUUAAAUACAUAUUAUUUAUUUAUUUAUUUUAAAAAUUAUUCUCUAUUAAUUCUUUUUUUGUUUCUUUAUCGCAUAUUUUACAUGUAAAAAGAUAUUAUUUAAAUACAUAUUCUAUUUAAAUACUAUUUGGAUCCAAAUUUACACCAUUGGCCUGUGAAAUCAAGGCCGUUGAGUGAACAUAGCUCCCGACUGUUGGAUCAAGAAAUAAAGGUCAUUAUUAAAAGAUAAUGAUUUUUAAAGUUAUGAUUUUUAUCAUAAUUAUCUUUUAAUAAUGAUUUAUUAUGAGAUGUAUAUCUUGAAGUAUAACAGCACGGCAUCAGAUAAAUGAGGUCACUUGGAAACUACUGAGGGGAUUGGAUUAUGGUCAGAUUAUUAUCCAUUUAAAUAUGGUGAUAAUUAAAAGUGAUUUUAAUAUUCAUAGGGUCAAGUUGCAUGCGACAAUGGGGUAAGGAAAUAGCUACUUUGGGUGAUGAUGAUGCGACAAGACCUAGAAAAGCUAGUUUUUUUUUUAUUUUUUAUUUUUUAUUUUUUUUAUUUUUUAUUUUUUAUAAUGGUGUUAUGAUGACAUAGGAAAGCCUAGCUAGCCUAGGUUUCCAGUCAUGAUAAAAUAAGUCAGAAUGGUUUUUUUUUAUUUUAAAAAGUCAGCCAUAUGAAGAUAGGCUUUAGCGCCUAUGCCGUGGAUCAGUCACUUUACGAGUUUGAGUUUUAGUCAUUUUCUGCAACAUUAUCUGACUGUGGAGAGCA